rfam:Octopus bimaculoides Scaffold13991_contig_220, whole genome shotgun sequence.
GUUGGUUAUGGAGAUAUGUUCCCAUCAAAUUUCUUUGGCUAUAUAAUUGGUUCCGUUUGUGCCAUCACCGGUGUGUUAAUGGUUGCUUUCACUGUUCCCAUUAUUGUCAAUAAU